rnacentral:rRNA from 1 species
UACGUAGGGCGCAAGCGUUAUCCGGAAUUAUUGGGCGUAAAGAGCUUGUAGGCGGUUUGUCGCGUCUGCUGUGAAAUUUCGGGGCUCAACCCCGAACUUGCAGUGGGUACGGGCAGACUAGAGUGUGGUAGGGGAGACUGGAAUUCCUGGUGUAGCGGUGAAAUGCGCAGAUAUCAGGAGGAACACCGAUGGCGAAGGCAGGUCUCUGGGCAUUAACUGACGCUGAGGAGCGAAAGCAUGGGGAGCGAACAGG